rnacentral:rRNA from 1 species
ACUGGUGCGCGAGAUGAGUAUUCUAAGGCGCUUGAGAGAACUCAGGAGAAGGAACUCGGCAAAUUGACACCGUAACUUCGGAAGAAGGUGUGCCCUAUUAGUGUGAAGUGAACAACGGAGCAUGAAUGGGUUGCAAAAAAUCGGUGGCUGCGACUGUUUAUUAAAAACACAGCACUCUGCAAACACGAAAGUGGACGUAUAGGGUGUGACGCCUGCCCGGUGCUGGAAGAUUAAAUGAUGGGGUGCAAGCUCUUGAUUGAAGUCCCAGUAAACGGCGGCCGUAACUAUAACGGUCCUAAGGUAGCGAAAUUCCUUGUCGGGUAAGUUCCGACCUGCACGAAUGGCGUAACGAUGGCCACACUGUCUCCUCCUGAGACUCAGCGAAGUUGAAAUGUUUGUGAUGAUGCAAUCUCCCCGCGGAAAGACGGAAAGACCCCAUGAACCUUUACUGUAGCUUUGUAUUGGACUUUGAACAGAUCUGUGUAGUAUAGGUGGGAGGCUUUGAAGCAGGGUCGCUAGAUCUUGUGGAGCCAACGUUGAAAUACCACCCUGGUGUGUUUGAGGUUCUAACCUAGGUCCAUUAUCUGGAUCGGGGACAGUGCAUGGUAGGCAGUUUGACUGGGGCGGUCUCCUCCCAAAGCGUAACGGAGGAGUUCGAAGGUACGCUAGUUUCGGUCGGACAUCGUGACGAUAGUGCAAUGGCAUAAGCGUGCUUAACUGCGAGACUGACAAGUCGAGCAGAUGCGAAAGCAGGACAUAGUGAUCCGGUGGUUCUGUAUGGAAGGGCCAUCGCUCAACGGAUAAAAGGUACUCUGGGGAUAACAGGCUGAUACCGCCCAAGAGUUCAUAUCGACGGCGGUGUUUGGCACCUCGAUGUCGGCUCAUCUCAUCCUGGGGCUGUAGCCGGUCCCAAGGGUAUGGCUGUUCGCCAUUUAAAGAGGUACGUGAGCUGGGUUUAAAACGUCGUGAGACAGUUUGGUCCCUAUCUUCCGUGGGCGCUGCAGAUUUGAGGAAGCCUGCUCCUAGUACGAGAGGACCGGAGUGGACACACCUCUGGUGUACCGGUUGUCACGCCAGUGGCAUUGCCGAGUAGCUAAGUGUGGAAGAGAUAACCGCUGAAAGCAUCUAAGCGGGAAACUCGUUUCAAGAUGAGAUCUGCCGGGGCCUUGAGCCCCCUGAAGAGUCGUUCAAGACCAGGACGUUGAUAGGUCAGGUGUGGAAGCGCAGUAAUGCGUUAAGCUAACUGAUACUAAUUGCUCGUGCGGCUUGACCCU